rnacentral:rRNA from 1 species
UACGGGGGGGGCAAGCGUUGUUCGGAAUUACUGGGCGUAAAGGGCUCGUAGGCGGCCAAUUAAGUCCGACGUGAAAUCCCCAGCUUAACCUGGGAACUGCGUCGGAUACUGGAUGGCUUGAAUUCGGGAGAGGGAUGCAGAAUUCCAGGUGUGAGGCGGUGAAAUGCGCAGAUAAUCCAGGAAGAACACCCGGUGGCGAAGGCGGCUCUCUGGGACGGGUAACUGGACGCU